AGCCUCCUGGUGCUCAGCACAGGAUAUGUUAUUACCCCAACCAAAUAGAAAGAGGAGGCUGAAUUAACCUAUCCCAUAUACAUCUCAACCCAGGCCCUGGGACUCAUCUGUAUUGUCAAUGGGGGGACAUGA
ensembl:snoRNA